UCUCUGGUAGCUCAGUGGUUUAGAGCUUCAAGCUUAUGUCUUGAGGGUCGAGAGUUCAAACCUCUCCCGGAGAA
rnacentral:tRNA from 1 species